CAGAGUGGCGCAGCGGAAGCGUGCUGGGCCCAUAACCCAGAGGUCGAUGGAUCGAAACCAUCCUCUGCUAUGAGUUUUACAGCUAAAUCGACACGCAAAAAACAAAAACCAAGUCCCUAGGUUUUCAUGCAUUCAACAGUUUCUGAAAACCCUCAUUUCUGCUUCUGCUCUUUGUUAUGUGUUUCUUUCCCACCUUUGAAAUCUCACCAUUCUCCCAAAACUCACCUACUUCACUGAUCCACACCGUCCUACAUUGGAAAAUUCCUUUCCUCCCAGGUGUCGGACAAAC
rnacentral:tRNA from 1 species